rnacentral:rRNA from 1 species
UACGAAGGGGGCUAGCGUUGCUCGGAAUGACUGGGCGUAAAGGGCGCGUAGGCGGUGUGUUUUGUCGGGCGUGAAAUUCCAGGGCUCAACCUUGGGGCUGCGUUCGAGACGGGCAUUCUGGAGUGGGGAAGAGGGUCGUGGAAUUCCCAGUGUAGAGGUGAAAUUCGUAGAUAUUGGGAAGAACACCGGUGGCGAAGGCGGCGACCUGGUCCUUGACUGACGCUGAGGCGCGAAAGCGUGGGGAGCAAACAGG